rnacentral:rRNA from 1 species
UUCCAGACUCCUACGGGAGGCAGCAGUGGGGGAUAUUGCACAAUGGGGGAAACCCUGAUGCAGCGACGCCGCGUGGGUGAAGAAGCGCCUCGGCGCGUAAAGCCCUGUCAGCAGGGAAGAAAAUGACGGUACCUGAAGAAGAAGCCCCGGCUAACUACGUGCCAGCAGCCGCGGUAAUACGUAGGGGGCGAGCGUUAUCCGGAUUCACUGGGUGUAAAGGGAGCGUAGACGGCCAAGCAGGCCAGGGGUGAAAGCCCGGGGCCCAACCCCGGGACUGCCCUUGGAACUGCAUGGCUGGAGUGCGGGAGGGGCAGGCGGAAUUCCUAGUGUAGCGGUGAAAUGCGUAGAUAUUAGGAGGAACACCAGUGGCGAAGGCGGCCUGCUGGGCUUUUACUGACGCUGAGGCUCGAAAGUGUGGGGAGCAAACAGGAUUAGAUACCCUAGUA